rnacentral:rRNA from 1 species
CCUACGGGAGGCAGCAGUGGGGAAUAUUGCACAAUGGGGGGAACCCUGAUGCAGCGACGCCGCGUGAGCGAGGAAGUAUUUCGGUAUGUAAAGCUCUAUCAGCAGGGACGAAAAAAGACGGUACCUGACUAAGAAGCCCCGGCUAACUACGUGCCAGCAGCCGCGGUAAGACGUAGGGGGCAAGCGUUAUCCGUAGUUACUGGGUGUAACAGGAGCGUAGACGGCAAGGAAAGCCAGAAGUGAAAGGGGAGGGCUCAACCCUGUACAUGCUUUUGGAACUGUGGUGGGAGAGUGCAGGAGAGGUAAGUGGAAUUCCUAGUGUAGCGGUGAAAUGCGUAGAUAUUAGGAGGAACCCCAGUGGCGAAGGCGGCUUACUGGACUGUAACUGACGUUGAGGCUCGAAAGCGUGGGGAGCAAACAGGAUUAGAUACCCGGGUAGUA